UACGUAGGGCGCAAGCGUUGUCCGGAAUUAUUGGGCGUAAAGAGCUCGUAGGCGGUUUGCCGCGUCUGCCGUGAAAGCCCGGGGCUCAACCCCGGGUCUGCGGUGGGUACGGGCAGACUGGAGUGCAGUAGGGGAGACCGGAAUUCCUGGUGUAGCGGUGAAAUGCGCAGAUAUCAGGAGGAACACCGAUGGCGAAGGCGGCUGCCUGGCCCAAUACUGACACUCAGGUGCGACAGCGUGGGGAGCAAACAGG
rnacentral:rRNA from 1 species